CAAAAUAUUGGGAGAUAUAAAAAAAGACAACUCUGUUCCGCAGAGUAGCUGUUGACAUUAUAGUUGCGCAGGAACUUUGUUGACUCUAAAGAAUCUCGGGCAAAUCGCACAUGCCCGUGGCGGCGACUUUGCAUGCGGAUGUCAUCCAUAUCAACUUUUGAUGCCAGUUUCUGCGCCUACCAUCGUGACCAUGGGUAACAGGGAAUCAGGGUUCUAUUCCGUACAGGGACCCUGAGAAACGGCUAUCACAUGCAAGGAAGGCAGCAGGUGUUCAAAUGACCCACUCCCGACGCGGGAAGGUAGUGA